rnacentral:lncRNA from 1 species
CUAAAGUUGUAACUGCUGCUGGUUGACCUUGUUUCUCUUUUUAUCUGGGUUUGUCUCUUUCUCUCCCCCGCUCUCUCUUCUCUCUCUCUCUCUCUCCUCUCUCCUCUCUCUCUCUCCUCUCUCUCCUUCAACCUCUCUCCUCUCUCUCCUCUCUCCUCUCUCUUUCUCGUCUCUCUCUCUCUCUCUCUCUCUCUCGUCUCUCUCUCUCUCUCCUCUCUCUCCUUCAACCUCUCUCAGGGAGAAAAACACAGAAACAGAGGCUGCAUCCCAAAUGCCUAUACACACACACAGCCCUACGUGGGACCCUCUUUCUCUGUGGGGUCCUGUGAUAUUUCAGACUCUGACGAGGAGAAAAGAGGGAGUUGAGAGAGACCAGUCCUAUCUACAGCAGCAAGAUGUGUGACCUGUUGCCACAACACACGGACAACCAGUGAAGAAGACACACCAUUAAGACAGCCAUUACAGAACUACCCACCACCAAAGGACCAAGCAGCGGAGAAGAGGACAGAGGCAAGUGAGGGAGGA